GCCUGGGUGGCUCAGUCGGUUGAGCGUGGGACUCUCGGGUUUCGGCUCCGGUCCUGAUCUCAGGGUGUGUGGGUUCGAGCCACACCACAGGCU
rnacentral:tRNA from 1 species